rnacentral:rRNA from 1 species
UACGUAGGGCGCAAGCGUUGUCCGGAAUUAUUGGGCGUAAAGAGCUCGUAGGCGGCUUGUCACGUCGGGUGUGAAAGCCCGGGGCUUAACCCCGGGUCUGCAGUGGGUACGGGCAGACUAGAGUGCGGUAGGGGAGACUGGAAUUCCUGGUGUAGCGGUGAAAUGCGCAGAUAUCAGGAGGAACACCGGUGGCGAAGGCGGGUCUCUGGGCCGUAACUGACGCUGAGGAGCGAAAGCGUGGGGAGCGAACAGG